rnacentral:rRNA from 1 species
UACGUAGGGUGCAAGCGUUGUCCGGAAUUAUUGGGCGUAAAGAGCUCGUAGGCGGUCUGUCGCGUCGGCUGUGAAAUCCCGAGGCUCAACCUCGGGUCUGCAGUCGAUACGGGCAAACUGGAGUGUUGCAGGGGAGACUGGAAUUCCUGGUGUAGCGGUGAAAUGCGCAGAUAUCAGGAGGAACACCGGUGGCGAAGGCGGGUCUCUGGGCAACAACUGACGCUGAGGAGCGAAAGCGAGGGGAGCGAACAGG